AUACGUAGGGGGCGAGCGUUAUCCGGAAUUAUUGGGCGUAAAGAGUACGUAGGUGGUUGCGUAAGCGCAAGGUGAAAGACCGGGGCUUAACUUCGGUGAGCCUUGUGAACUGCGUGACUUGAGUGCAGGAGGGGAAAGUGGAAUUCCUAGUGUAGCGGUGAAAUGCGUAGUUAUUAGGAGGAACACCAGUGGCGAAGGCGCGUUUCUGGACUGUAACGGACACUGAGGUACGAAAGCGUGGGGAGCAAACAGGAUUAGAUGCCCUGGUGGUCCACGCCGUAAACGAUGAGCACUAGGUGUUGGCGUAGAAAUACGUCGGUGCCGAAGGUGACGCAUUAAGUGCUCCGCCUGGGGAGUACGCACGCAAGUGUGAAACUCAAAGGAAUUGACGGGG
rnacentral:rRNA from 1 species